ensembl:lncRNA
CCCGGUUCUGUGCCCGUACCUCACACAGUCCUGCCCUUCCACUGUUUUUAUCUGCUGGUUUAGGACUUUAAAGAAUGCACUGAAAUCGCCAGAGUCGGGAGAGCUAACCCCACGUCUGCCGCUAAGUGAGGGCGUGUCCUGAGCGACUUGCUUUAUCUCUUGGGAAGGAGGGAUUGCAACAGGAGCUAAUCACAGGUGUGCCACGAGGAAGCGUGCCUUGCUAUCUCGGUGCAGCGCAGGCCUGCUGUACCGCUGUCCUUUGCUGGGCCUUGAUAAGGUUUGAGCCCUACCCAAAGCCCAGCGUUGGUUUCUGCCCCUCAUUGCUCCUGAAGCUGAGCCAGAAAACCUGCACGUUUUUGCAGUUGGCUCCCAGGGCCUCGCCUGCCUUCGUGUGUAGUGAGAGGAAAUCAUUGGUUCUAUGUGGACUUGGGGAUUCUUCAAGGCCACAGCUUCCGUUGGCAACAGAGAUGGUUUUCAAAAUUCUGGCCAUGGAACAGCCUUCAAAAGAAGGACUAAUCAGAGCACAGUGUAUAAAAUAGCUAAGGCUGGCCUGCUGUGUUUGAAACGGGGAUGUGGGAGGGUAGAGACUGGAACAGACUUUGCUCCAUCGCCAAGUGGCCUGGCAGGAGUGAAGCCCUUAGGGUCUUCAGAGGACAGUUUGAAAAUCGCUGCCCUACUUGUUGCAGUUAAGGCUGUUUAGUAUGCUCUCCUCAAAACUUUUUUCAGUCUGGCUGCAGCCAUUCCUCCCUCCACCUGUAUCUCCCCGUCCAGACGCGUCAGGACAUGAUGUCCCUGUCACUUGUCCGCUUUUCCUGCUCCUGGGUUCUCUGCUCAAGUGCACCUCCUCUGUCAUUCCUUCCUUGGUGCUUUCUCUAACGUUUUGUGCACACCUCAGAUGUCGCACCUGUCACACUGUCGUUGGAGGUCAGUUUCCUACACUGACACGUGGGUCCCUUGAAAACAGGAGUGUGUCUUGUUUUUGCAAUGCUUAACUGAUAUUUUAGGAACACUUGAAUGCUAGGUUCUGGGGAUAGAGUUGAGAGAAGAAGCACUACCCUCAUGAAGCUGACAUUGUAGAGAAGGGGAGACAGACAAUAAGCAAGAUAAGCAAGGAAAAGAUGUGGCCUAUCGAGUGAUCAACACUAGGGAGAAGGACAGCGCAGAGAAGGCGCUAGAGAGUAUGUGUUGGGUGAGGGUGGGAGCAUUCCAACUGGAGGAUGGUGAGGGAAGGCCACGCAGAAGACGACAUGGGCAUCAGCCUGAAGAUGGUGAAAGAGGGAACAGUGUGGACCUUUGUUGGGACACUGGUCCAAGCACAGAGAAGCAAGAUGGCAAAGACACGUGAGGUGACAGCAAGGAAGAGGCCACUGUGGCUAAAGGAAGUUUAGCUAAAGGACUCUUUAGGAAGUGGGAGGGGAGAAGGAGGCGAGAUUAGAGAGGAUAUGGAGUGUUAGAAGGCUGGGGGCCUGGUGGGCCGCUGUAAGGACUCUGGGUAUUAUAAAGUGAGAGGUUCUCCCAUAAUCUUUUGAAGUUCCCACAAUUUCAACAAAGCUGCUUCCACAAAGGACACAAGUGGCUGCCACCAUGACAACUCUCGUGCCCAGUUCUCAGGCCUUGCUUGAUUUCUUGGUUGCCUUUGACGCCAUUGGCCACUUCCUCUUUUGUGAAACUCUUCCUUUAGCUUUUGUAAUCGCACUUUCUCCUUUUUCUUCCCACUUGAGUGGCUACUCUUUCUUGGGCUUCUGUGAUUUUCUUCCUCUGCUCACCCUUUGAGGGUUUUCUCCUAGCCAAGGCUUUCCCCUCAGCCUGCUCCUCUUCUUAAGAUGCACGUCCUCCCUGUGUGACCUCAUCCAAAUGGCCACCUCAGACGUGAACAAGAUUGGUCCCCUUGGCAAGGAAGAAGGUCCCUCAGAACAGCCGUCCUCCAAUGCGGAAGGAGACUAUGCAAAGGUGUGAGUACCAGGAGAUUAACCCUAAGCUAACAUCUGCCACCAAUCCUCCUCUUUUUGCUGAGGAAGACUGGCCCGGAGUUAACAUCCACGCCCAUCUUCCUCCACUUUAUAUGUGGGAUGCCUGCCACAGCAUGGUUUGAUAAGUGUUGAAGAAACCAAGGCAUAGACAAAGCCAAUGAUUUUUCCAAGACCACAUAGCUGGAAGUGGGAUUUACAAUCGCCAGGUUCACGUGACUUCAAAGUGCCCUCUCAGUUCACAGGACUUCAGACAGAGAGGAACUCUACUUGGAGAUCUGCGCUUAAAGACUACACCUAAGGAGAUUCGCCUGCACUGGGACCUGAUUUAAAGGAUGACGUCCUGGACUCCAGAGCUGAUGCUGUAUAGGCUUGAGACUUUUGGGAGGUAUUGAGAAGGAUGACAGUAUUUUGCAAGUGGGAGGAAUAUGAUGGUUAAAGUAUGUCCACAAAGUAUUUAACAUUAUUUUCAAAAAGUAGAGUGUAAUUCCCCUCCCCUUGAGAGUGGGCUGGACUUAGUGACUCACUUCUAAUGGAUAGAAUUGAGCAGAAGUGACAGUGUGUGACUUCAGAGGCCAGGUCAUAAAAGUCACUGUGUCUUUCUGCUUGCUCUUCCUUGUGGAUGCUGAACUCUGGGGGGACGUUGUGAGCAGUCUUAUGGAGAGGCCCACAUGAAACCCAGGCCUUCUGCCAACAACCAUUUGAGUGAAUCCUUUGGCAAGUGGAUCCUCCAGCCCCAGUCAAGCCUUCAGAUGACUCCAGGCCCAGUCAGCAUCUUAACUGCAACCUCAUGAGAGAACCAGAAACCCAGUUCAGAACUACCCACCCAAGUCACUGCCAGAUUCCUAAUCCUCAGAAACUGACUGAGAAAAUAAAUGUUCGUUGUCUUAAGUUACUAAAUUUCAGGGUAAUCUGUUUGGUAGAGACAGAUAAUUAACACAUCGGUGGUGAAAAAUUACCUGAUAAUAUUUUUAUGUUUGGAUUAGAAAGAAAGUUUUAGAUAAAUCCAAGAAAAUUCUUUUCAUACUACAGUCAUGGAAACUUCGAGUCAUUUGCCAUGAUUCUUGCUCCUGUCCUUUCAGUAUGAGCCCAAAAGUUCCUGUUGUCUUUAUUAUUUAAUUUUCCCCCUACAUUUUCUCUGUUUGGUAGCUGUCAAGGAGCUACACACAUACAGAGAGAGAGAGAGCACAGAAACAUUGGAGAGAUAGAAACAAUAUUACACAAAGGUAGCCACACUGGUAUGUAUAUACCAUAUUAACAUUAUAUAUUUAUUGAUAUAUAUCUGUAUAUACCUAUAUUUUUAUAUAUACAUAUGUAUCUAUAUAUCUGUGU